AGUGUUUGAUCCUGGCUCAGAUUGAACGCUGGCGGCAUGCAUACACAUGCAAGUCGAACGGCAGCACGGGUGCUUGCACCUGGUGGCGAGUGGCGAACGGGUGAGUAAUACAUCGGAACAUGUCCUGUAGUGGGGGAUAGCCCGGCGAAAGCCGGAUUAAUACCGCAUACGAUCUACGGAUGAAAGCGGGGGACCUUCGGGCCUCGCGCUAUAGGGUUGGCCGAUGGCUGAUUAGCUAGUUGGUGGGGUAAAGGCCUACCAAGGCGACGAUCAGUAGCUGGUCUGAGAGGACGACCAGCCACACUGGGACUGAGACACGGCCCAGACUCUUACGGGAGGCAGCAGUGGGGAUUUUUGGACAAUGGGCGAAAGCCUGAUCCAGCAAUGCCGCGUGUGUGAAGAAGGCCUUCGGGUUGUAAAGCACUUUUGUCCGGAAAGAAAUCCUUGGCUCUAAUACAGUCGGGGGAUGACGGUACCGGAAGAAUAAGCACCGGCUAACUACGUGCCAGCAGCCGCGGUAAUACGUAGGGUGCAAGCGUUAAUCGGAAUUACUGGGCGUAAAGCGUGCGCAGGCGGUUUGCUAAGACCGAUGUGAAAUCCCCGGGCUCAACCUGGGAACUGCAUUGGUGACUGGCAGGCUAGAGUAUGGCAGAGGGGGGUAGAAUUCCACGUGUAGCAGUGAAAUGCGUAGAGAUGUGGAGGAAUACCGAUGGCGAAGGCAGCCCCCUGGGCCAAUACUGACGCUCAUGCACGAAAGCGUGGGGAGCAAACAGGAUUAGAUACCCUGGUAGUCCACGCCCUAAACGAUGUCAACUAGUUGUUGGGGAUUCAUUUCCUUAGUAACGUAGCUAACGCGUGAAGUUGACCGCCUGGGGAGUACGGUCGCAAGAUUAAAACUCAAAGGAAUUGACGGGGACCCGCACAAGCGGUGGAUGAUGUGGAUUAAUUCGAUGCAACGCGAAAAACCUUACCUACCCUUGACAUGGUCGGAAUCCUGCUGAGAGGCGGGAGUGCUCGAAAGAGAACCGGCGCACAGGUGCUGCAUGGCUGUCGUCAGCUCGUGUCGUGAGAUGUUGGGUUAAGUCCCGCAACGAGCGCAACCCUUGUCCUUAGUUGCUACGCAAGAGCACUCUAAGGACACUGCCGGUGACAAACCGGAGGAAGGUGGGGAUGACGUCUAGUCCUCAUGGCCCUUAUGGGUAAGGCUUCGCACGUCAUACAAUGGUCGGAACAGA
rnacentral:rRNA from 1 species